rnacentral:lncRNA from 1 species
ACUUGCACUGGCUGGACGCUAGCUUCGCCCUCGCCCUCCAGUGUGGACACUGAUGCUUCCGCAGCCUUUGUUUUUAGUUGCUUUGUCUUGUUGCUAGCCGCCCACAGGCCCGAUGUGGGUGGGAGUGGGGUGACAGCGGGGCUGGAAGCUGAGGAUUUAGCUAGAGACCCAGCCCAGAGCCCCCGCGGGCCUUGCAGAUUCUCUGCCUUCUCGACAAUCUACCAACAAAGGAAGGAAAGAGGAGAAAUGCCUAUUAGACUCUGUACCCUGGGUUCACCCACCUCUCCCAUCCGGGUGCCUAUUGUGCAAAGGAAGGGAAAGGGCCAGUUAAUCCUAGAACCUAAGGACUAGGUUCAGAGGUCUUGGGUGUGGUUGUUUUUCCCUCGUCGAGAUAAACACGGAAGGAGCAGAGCUGCUCGGAUUGCCUUGUCAUUCGGAGUCACGAGGGUGGCCAUGAAAAUAACCUUGAAAACAGCUUCGUUUGCACAGGCUACCGACUUCCGUACUGUACAGUCUAGAAAUGUUAGCAAAUUACAUAAAUUUCACUUCAAAAAGGUUUACGACUUUUAUCAUAGAACUGAAGGAAACCUUAGGAACAUAUCUGGUUUGCCUAGCAUGAACCAAAAGCCCCAAUUUGAUUCCCCAGCCCAAAGUCUGCUUUUUUAGAAUAAGAAGCAGGUAGAAUUUUAUUUGAAGUGAAUUGAAAUUUAGAAAAUAUCUACUUUGGAUAGUAUUUUAUUUUUAUUGGGCUGCAUGAGUUGGACCUUGUUUCAACAAGCAG